AACGAACGCUGGCGGCAUGCCUAACACAUGCAAGUCGAACGAGACCUUCGGGUCUAGUGGCGCACGGGUGCGUAACGCGUGGGAACCUGCCCUUAGGUUCGGAAUAACUCCCCGAAAGGGGUGCUAAUACCGGAUAAUGUCUUCGGACCAAAGAUUUAUCGCCUUUGGAUGGGCCCGCGUUGGAUUAGCUAGUUGGUAGGGUAAAAGCCUACCAAGGCGACGAUCCAUAGCUGGUCUGAGAGGAUGAUCAGCCACACUGGGACUGAGACACGGCCCAGACUCCUACGGGAGGCAGCAGUGGGGAAUAUUGGGCAAUGGGCGAAAGCCUGAUCCGGCAAUGCCGCGUGAGUGAUGAAGGCCUUAGGGUUGUAAAGCUCUUUUACCCGGGAUGAUAAUGACAGUACCGGGAGAAUAAGCUCCGGCUAACUCCGUG
rnacentral:rRNA from 1 species